CCUUACAGGUUGUGACGUGUUCAGUGUUUCAGGAUGUGAUCGAAGCCUCAAAGACUUUACCCUUCUAUAGAGAAAUAAAGAUGAAUUAAGAAGAUAUUUGCCCUGGCCUCUGAGCCAAACUGAAGAAUGGAAUGAACUGGCUUAGAGGCCCUUGGACCUGCUGGCUCCGUCUCACCAAGCAGUCUUAGGUAGUUCGGGAAUUCUCCAAGUGAGAACAGCGUUGAAAAAACAACUGUUUAACUAGAGCUCCAGCAUGGUGAUGAUGUAUGCAUGCGUGCUGUGUGUGUGAACAUUCACAUGCAUGUGCCUGAGUCUGGCCAGGCCGAUAAGCUUCUUCUCAUUGGUUGAGAAACUCCAGAGGCAGAAAAUCAAGAUAAGGAACAAUUUUGUAGAUAUGAUGACCCUACUGGCAACAUAGUUUCAUGGUUGGGUUUCAGAGUUGAUGUUACACUCCC